rnacentral:rRNA from 1 species
CAGAGCCGCGGUAAUACGAAGGGUGCAAGCGUUAAUCGGAAUUACUGGGCGUAAAGCGUGCGUAGGCGGUUUGUUAAGUCUGUUGUGAAAUCCCCGGGCUCAACCUGGGAAUGGCAAUGGAUACUGGCAAGCUAGAGUGUGUCAGAGGAUGGUGGAAUUCCCGGUGUAGCGGUGAAAUGCGUAGAGAUCGGGAGGAACAUCAGUGGCGAAGGCGGCCAUCUGGGACAACACUGACGCUGAGGCACGAAAGCGUGGGGAGCAAACAGGAUUAGAUACCCCCGUAGUCCCUGUCUCUUAUACA